UACAGAGGUCUCAAGCGUUGUUCGGAUUCAUUGGGCGUAAAGGGUGCGUAGGCGGCGCGGUAAGUCGGGUGUGAAAUCUCGGAGCUUAACUCCGAAACUGCAUUCGAUACUGCCGUGCUUGAGGACUGGAGAGGAGACUGGAAUUUACGGUGUAGCGGUGAAAUGCGUAGAUACCGUAAGGAAGACCAGUGGCGAAGGCGGGUCUCUGGACAGUUCCUGACGCUGAG
rnacentral:rRNA from 1 species